UAGAGUUUGAUCCUGGCUCAGAGUGAACGCUGGCGGCGUGCUUAACACAUGCAAGUCGAACGAGAAACGGUCUAGCUUGCUAGAUGCAGUCUAAGUGGCGGACGGGUGAGUAAUGUAUAGCUAAUGUGCCCCUUGGAGAGGGAUAACAGUUAGAAAUGACUGCUAAUACCUCACACUCCUUAUGCCUUAAUGGUAUAAGGGAAAUGUUUUUUCGCCAAGGGAUCAGGCUAUAUGGUAUCAGCUAGUUGGCGAGGUAACGGCUCACCAAGGCAAUGACGCCUAACUGGUCUGAGAGGAUGAUCAGUCACACUGGAACUGAGACACGGUCCAGACUCCUACGGGAGGCAGCAGUGGGGAAUAUUACACAAUGGAGGAAACUCUGAUGUAGCAACGCCGCGUGGAGGAUGACACAUUUCGGUGCGUAAACUCCUUUUAUAUGGGAAGAUAAUGACGGUACCAUAUGAAUAAGCACCGGCUAAACUCCGUGCCAGCAGCCGCGGUAA
rnacentral:rRNA from 1 species